rnacentral:lncRNA from 1 species
GUUGGUGGUUUGCACGCAACGUCUGACAUGUCUCGGUCAGCCUCAGUUUGUCUCUUUACGUUUUCCUCUUUUCUUCUUGGAGCUCUGACGAAAACAAGCAAUGGGCAGUGUGUGUGGGUAGGAGGAGUGCUGUAAAUUCGGUGCUUUGGUCUUCCAGCUGUCAGGAAAUUGGAUGGUCCUGGGGUAGAUAAUCCAUUGAGGCUGACAGCACAAAUAGCGUAUAGACAUUGUUAAUGCCGUUGUUGGUGUGACCCAGAACCCUUUGGGUGAUGGUGCUCGUGUGGAAGGACGUGAGCAGAAAGUUACAUCCUGCCCAUUAGGAUGUACUGCUGUGUUCUUUCACCUGCAGCUUCCUGAGACUGGUGUGGUUUGGGGCUUUGUGGGAUGUGGUCUGUUCUGUUAGGACAACUGCUCGUUGUAGACACGAAGAAGAAAAGGGAAGUAGUAGGUUUGUCUUUCAUUAACCUUGACAACUCUGUUGCCUUGCUUGUUCUUAGGUACAACUCUUGCAUGUUAAAGCCACAGAGUUACUCCUCUUAAGCACGGGAACUUACGUUUCUAGGCAAAUAUUUACAUCGAAGUUCCAGCAGUAGACAGGAGUUGUUGGUUGUUCCAUCAUGUAGGGCUGUCAGAAAAACAAGGAGCAUAGACCAUGAGUUGAAGGCUGGGUCCUUUGUCCACCCAAGAAUGCCUUGUAAAGUCCAGGAGAAUAGCAGCAUGGUUUGGCUUCAGAAAGACUUUUAGGUAAGUCUUGCCUGGUAUCACGAUGGCAGGAAUACCACUUGAACUCUGUGUAAAAGAGAGGAUCCCAUCUCAUUUUAGAAGAGGAAAUGAGGGAUGAUACCUGUAGGGAAAGAUUACCAUUCGAACAGAACUAAUUUUCAUCAGGGUGGGGAAUAAUUCCAAGAUCUGAAGGGCUGUUGAAGGCUUCUGAGCUUCCUUUUAUAAAUAGGGAACUGCCAUUAACCUUAACCUUAGCUUUGACCCUGCAGUCUGGGAGGCUGCUCUGUUACGCUGUGAAACGUUUCCAGCUCUGUGGCUCGAGUGAGUGCUGAGGUGACCUGGGCUGUGGGGUUGGGUGAUCAUGUAAUUUGCAUAUAGAGCACGAGAUGAGAACGAUUAGAAAAUGGUGACCUUUUCUCCCGUCUCUUUCAGUUCUGUGCUGAAAUAACCAGGCUGACACGUUUCAGGCCGUGAGCUGUUCCCUGCAGCUGAUGAUUCGACAGCUUUGUGGCUCUCUCAGGCUCUGAGCACGCAUGGUAUCAGGCAGGCAUGUGCCCCACAAGGCUUUGUGAGACAUGAGUCUGAGUGUUCGCUGGCUUCAUGCUAAGCCCUUGGUUUUCCCUGGUAUUAAACCAUACUCUUAUCCCAGCAAUGCCAAACGGUGCAGGUUGGGAGUGCUGUUCUGAUGGCUGUUGGUAUAGAAGGUUCAGGAGCCUGCUUGUUCCAAUCCACUCCCUCUUAUCUUUCAACACUGCCAUCAGCCUUUCCUAUGUGAAAGCAGCGCGUUCUGCUGUGGGAGGGAUCCCAGCAGCCUACGUCCUGGGGCAGGGAGAUGCAGGGGAGCGUUGCCAGGAACUUCAGGACCUGUUGGUGGGGAAGGCCAAUUGUUUGCACGUAGCAUGCUGGUUGUGGCAUGAAGCUAGAUAGAAAUCUCCCAGGAAUGUUAUCUUUGGGUAUUGCUUGUGCUUGAAUGGAUCUAAAAAGAAAGUUACGGUGCAUUAUGUAAGCAAGAUAGAGUCAGGUGGAUUUUUAGCUUAAAGUUUGGUAGUUUGCUAAUGGGAGGAAUUUGUCUUUGAGUGCUGCUGUCUGUGAAGUGACCGGAGCAGACCAGCUCCUUGAGAUCUGAUUCCAGAAGAAGGCUGUCCUGUGUGUGAUGGAGCAUAUGAUUUCAUGCAGUUAUAAAACAUAGCCUUAGCUAAAAGGAAUCGUCAUGUUGCCCUCAUUGUGUCCUCGUAAUUUGUUAUUUCCAUUUAUGUUUGGGGUCUGUGGAAACGAUUCAGCCAAGACUGAGGUACUGAUGUAUGGAUGGUCACUGUUUCUUCAGAGCAACAUCCACCCUGAAAAGCAGUGCGGAGUUGUCCAAAAUGCUUUGUAGUCACGUUGGUUCUUUUUGUUUAUAGAAAGAAAAAGGUCCAUUCUGACCGUAUCAGUGAGGUUUCCUGGGUUAUUUUGUACCAGAGCUUAUUGCUGGAAUUCUCUGCGUCGUGCUGAAGUGUGGGUGUCCCAUCCUGGAGGGUUCAGGACCAGGCUGGAAGGGGCCCUGGGCAGUCUGAGCUGGUGGGGGCAGCUCUGCCUAUGGUGGAUGUUGAGACUGGAUGGGCUUUGAGAUCCCUUCCAGCCCAACCAUUCUGUGCUGUAAGGUGAGCAGGGAGGUGCUGCUUGGAUCAGAUGCUUCAGUGCCCGCCUGCUAUCUCAGCAUCAUUUGUGUUUUUGCAGCUGAUUGAACUAUUGCUUCUGGUGUUUGGGAGCCUGAAUUGUAUGCAUGUGGACAGGUGAGCUGGGAGUGCUCCCUGCUCAGUUUGGAGUCAGGUUCCUGAUGGCUCACCUGUGCACCUUUCACCUUUUCUCUCUUUCUGCAGCAAAGCAGCGCUUUGUGACUUUCAGCUUCCUAUGUUGUGUAGGUGGAAAGCAGUCUGUGCUGCACUUCUCAGACAGAAAUAGUCGUGGUCUGUGACUGCAGUAGGCAGGUAGUGGAAAAACUGGAGCUGAACUAAAUCACCUGCCAUAUCUCCAAUACGGACUUGUAAUCACUGACAGUAAUUCCUGACUUUUGAGAGCAAGAUAUUCAAGCAAUACUUGAAUAUUGGGCUUGUAUCGUAAAAUGGGGCUGAAGCUUUGCUGUCUCUUGUGGAAGAUGGCCUCUUAGAGCAGCGCCCUGUGAGGGUUCCUCCAUUCCUGGGCAGAGGGAGGAGGUGACCUGGGAGGCAGCACACAGCCUGUGCGGCUGUCAGGUGAGAAGGAAUGAAGAAAUGGGCUCUGUGGCACGAUGCAGUUCAGUUUACAGUAUCAGCAGUGUCUGCAGUGAAGGGAAUCGUGAGGCUGAGCAGGAAAAUGGAGCGGGUUGGGAUGCAGCCGGUGGUGGCGGUUUGUGCUGAGCCGUAGGCAGCAGCCAGAAGACCUUUCCAGUGCUUCCCUCCUUACAGCUGCAGCAGCAUUGCUGGCUGGAGCGGCCACGGCAGCUCUCAUUGCAUUCCAGGGCGCGGGACUGCGCUGCUGCGCUCUGCAGUGAUCUGAUGGCAGUGGCUGAGAGUGCAGCGGCGGUAACGGCAGCAGCGGGGUUAUGUGAGGACACUGCUCUGGUCUUAACUCUUUGCUUGCCUGCUCUGCUUUCUUCUAAUGGCAGCACUCGCAGGCUUUGCUGGGCAAUUGCAGCAUUUUGCCACUUGAUUACUCAACUGAGACUUACUGUUGGCAGGGGAAACCAAACAAAACGUAGAUCCUGCCAUUUCUAAGCUAUGAAAAGUCGAAGCUCUGCGUUUAGAUCCAUCACACUGCCCUAAGCACAGGCUCUGGGGAGACAGGCACCUCGGCAGUAUGUGCUGCCUAAUGUGCCCACACACCCAGAAUGGGGGGAGCGGCCUAAAGCACGGUAGCCCAAUGGCUGUGGUCAACCUCCUGCAUCUCCUCAAGGUGACAUUGUAGAACCUGUUCGACUUAACUUUGUGUUUGGUCCAGAAUCUCAACAGCUUCUCUGUGGGAUCUUCAUCCAACACUGUGAAUGCUGCAUGAGUCCCAGUGAACCUGUCCAGCUGUCAGCCUAAAUUACUGUAAAUCAGAAGCUGCAAGUGUGCAGUGCGGUAUGUAGGAACACAGAGCUGCCCUUGUCGGCCAUAAAUCUGUCUGCUUAAGGACUUUUGGUUUUCUGGGGCCUGUAAUUGAACUGAGCAGCAAGUUUGUUGUGUGUGUGCUAGCAUGAGAAACUGAAAAGUUUCUCCUGAGCUGGGGGCGGGGAGGAGGAAGGGUGGCUGCUCUCACUGUGCUCUUUCAAUCCUGAUCAGGAAAUGGGCUUUUGAUUACGGUGCUCUCAGAGAUAGCAGUGGUUCUGCACAUGGGAGGAAUGUGGAGGGUGUCCACGUUGUGUCACCUAGCAGAUCUCUGCAUGGGACUUCAGGUUAUUAAUCUUACUGGAAUGUGGGAUGUUUCAGAAGUCUGAAGUACAGUGGAUGCUGAAUUGUUGUUUGGCUAAAGGUUGCUUUAUAUUGAACUUGAAACAAGGUAAACCGAGCUGGUUUUUGAACAGCGUGGGAACAGGCUUUCUGGACAGGCUGGCUUGCUGGGCUGAGGCCAUUGGGAUGAAGUUCAACAUGUCCAAGUGCUGGGUCCUGCACUUCAGCCACAACACCAACCAAUGCUACAAGCCUGGGGCAGAGAGGCUGGAUGCCUGUGUGGAAGAAAUGGGCCUGGAGGUGUUGGCUGAUGCUUGACUAAGUAUGAGCCAGCAGUGUGCCCGGGUGGCCAAGAAGACCAAUGGCAUCCUGGCUUGUGUCAGAAAUAGUGCAGCCAGCAGGAGCAGAGAAGUGAGCAUCCCCCUAUACUCAGCCCUGGUGAGGCCACACCUCGAGUGCUGUGUUCAGUUUAAAUAACAUUCAUAGUUGCAUCCAGUCUUGAAGCAUCUCCUGAAUGUGAAGACUACAAGUGAUGUACAGUCUGCUUGGAAGCUGUGGAAACGCUCAGUGGAUCAAAGGCAGAAGUGCAGACUGCGCCAGGGAGUCAGAAUCACUGCUUCUAUCUCUGCUUUGAAAACCUGCAGAAAUGAAUCAGCUGGCUCCGUUGCUUUGCAGAGCGACCUUUGGGUAUCUUACAGAAUAUCCAUUGCCUGCGGAUGUCCACUGACUCCUCAUUUAGAUGUAGGUGUUGCUCAGCUCUCCUGCAACAUAGGAGUGAUUCAGAAGUCCUUAACCUGUUUGGAUGCACAGGUUCUGCCUCAGCUCACCGUAUGGAAUUCCAUCUGUGUGCAUGCAAGUGUUAGAUGCCACAUGGAGGAUGCGGCACGAGGGUGGUGAAAAAGGGUAGAUAAAUGAAUGUUGUGAGUUCCUGGGUGCGGGUUGUGGAUCAUCAAGCAUAAUGUGCCAAUCAAGACCAGGAGAGAAGAGCAGCCUGUGGGCCCUGGGAGGUCCUGCAGCAGGGAAAGCUGGGACUUCUGGGAGUUCCUACGUGAAUGAGAACACGAGGAGGAAAUUUGUCGUUGUUUGAUUUGGAUGAAAUCCUUAAGAAUUUGUGGCUAAGGGCCAGAGUUUAAUCUUUUUAAGGCAGAAGACUAGAUAAGUGAUUUCUGAAGGCCUUUUAAGGAGCAGAACACCCUACCGUGUGAUGCUCGUCCAGAAGAGCUGCGGUUCUCAUAUCUUAAAUAGACGAUAACUGAAGAAAUGCUUAAUCCUCAUUAUGGAAUAGAUUAUGCCUUAAACAGUGAGGUCUUUAUAAUCUAACAGCACAGCAUUGAUGCAUGAGGGGUUAAUAUUUCUGGAACGGUUAUAUCACUGUCCUUAAAUUAAUUUGGAAAAAGAGGGAACGCAUGAGUGGUCUGCAGUGUGUGGGUGCCUACAUGUGCCAGUGCUAAACGAAAUUAUGCUAUUAAUGUGUCCCUUCACAACAUUGUCUCCUGAGUUAGUGGGAUACAUCUGUCUGGCUUCAACAGCUUGUCAGAUUGCAUUGCCAGAACUUCCUUCAAGAUGUCCGACCUCCUUUAAAGGUACUUCUGCUACAUGCAAAAGAGCUGGGAUGCACAAUGUGUAGGAGAACGCCAGGAAAUCUGUCCUGCAAAUUGACAUAGCAGUCCAGCACUUGAUGUGAAUGCAGUGGGGUAUGUUAUGCUUUAAGGCUUGGUCUCCCAUCACUAAGGGAUUUUUUUGGUGUUCUAAAUAGUGUUUCAGAGUUAUCAUUUUGAAUUAGGCCUGGAAGUUUCUGAUUGGAAACUUGAAUGUCAGCAGGCACUGCUGCUUCAUUUUCAGCACUGCUGCUCUCUGCAAGGCUUCCUUGGGAGAUGGGUGUUUCUAAUGCUGCUUUGCUUCAUCCACAUGGCUUGGCAUGGUGAAGGAAUCCUCAAGAGAGGUGUUGUGUUUGGAGUUAGGAGUGAGUCAAAACUCUUGAUAAAUCUGUUGUUGGUUGCUAAACUUCAAUCUCGAAAUGACUUAAAUGCAGGACAAGCCAGGUUUGUUUUUCUGAGCAGAGAAGAUGAGCUCUCUGACCAUCUCAGAGCCACGUUCUUUAUACAGCGUGUCUUACACAUGAAAUGUUGUCCUGCUUGCCCUCCCUCAGCUGCAGAUGUGUGGUGGUGGGGCGGUCCCAGUGCAGCUGGCUGCUGGCGCUCCUUUAUGUAGUGCUGGGUUUGCUUUGGUCGAUGCAAACCACUUUGAACAAGUGCAACUUUAUGCUCUUACAGAAAACUAAGAUGAUGCCUUCUCUCUUAGGAGUUCUGGGCAAAAAGACUGUGAUCUUAAAGAGCCAUUAUCUCAUUUAUGAUUUAUAGACAGCGAUGGUACUGUUGGAUAUAACUGUUUAAUCUGAAGAUGAUCAUGUGAGCAUCCCGCUAUGGCAUUCAGCUGCUCACUGGGGCGUGGGCUGUAUGAGCUGGAGGGUGGUGAAUAGAGAAAAGCACAGGACGAGGAGUGUGUGUGGAACUGGCUUUUAAGGGCAGCCUGCCGUGGGGGAGCUUGGAGCUUCUUUCAGCAUGUGGAAACCAACGGUGGGGACGACUUGUUUUCCAAAUACACAGGCUGAGGGUAUAAGCUGCUUCUGAGAGGCUUUGCUGUACCUACAGGAAAUCUCAGCCUUUGACCUGUUGGCCCGCAGCAGUUCAAAUUGUACCCGUUUCUGCCAAGUGGAUGUCAUGUACUUAGCUCCUUCGACACUGUUUAGAAUAGACUUGAAUUUACGAUUAACUGGAUUAACUUAAGGUUUAACUGGCUAAUAGCAGAGUAAUAGCUACCACCAUGCUUUGAGAAUGUUAUUUGCGUAGGGAUGCAAGACUGAACACAGUGGACAUGCAUGCUGCUCUGCUCUGAAGGUGGCCCUUACACUGGGGUGCUGCAGGCAGACCCCUCUGGCCUGUGGGGCUGUGCUGGACAUUAACAUCUGAUAUUACUUAGACCAUUCCUUACUGUUAACAGAUUUUCCUUUGUUUGCAGAGGCUGCUCUGUUACGUUGACCUUCUAGACAAAGUCCUUUCACGUUCAACUUGGUAGAUUUUAUGGGGUAGGGUAUAUUGUAUAGAUGUGAAGGAUAGGACGUAGCACAUUGCUGCUCUAUCUGAAUUCAGCUGUGUUGCAGGUGCUGUCAUUGCCUCUGCGGUGCCUGAACAGUGGAUGGAGGGCUGGUGCUGUGACUUAGAGCUCCGCUUCUUUAAGAAGUGCUAAACCUGAUGGUUCUGAUGUAUGGAAAGGUAAUUGAAGUGGUACACUGACCUCGAGCUUCAAGGAAGAGCUGACUGGGAGCUGAGAGUUGCUUCGUAUUGAAGCUCUGGCUUUGAAGCUGGGGAAAAAGGAGUGCACGGAAUGCAUUACAGCAAGAUACACGCGUUUUUAUUUCUGCUGACAGAAUUUUAAAGCUGAUUUAAUGAUGAAACAACGACAGGGACUGGAAGUGUCUUUCACAGACAUUUCAUGUUAUACGUACCCAGCAAUCCAAGGAAAGGUCUGUUCCAUUCAACUACCCAACUAGCUGCCUGAACUGCGUGUGCAGGGGGAGGGCUUGGCUUCUGCCCAGCACUGUGAGUUAAACUUUGCCUUGUGGGGGAAGAAAAAAAAUCAGUUGUCUUUUCCUCUGAGUGUGUCAUAAACUGAAACAUUUGGGCCUGAUUUGUCACUCAGCUUUUCUGCCAGCAAAGGUAAGAAACAGAGGUAACCAGACUGCACUAGAAUACCCAAACCGUAUCUUCUGACAAAUGUUUCCUGAGGUUCCUGGCUUCAGUGGAGACAGUGUGCCAGCAGGAUCCUUCUCUGCAAGCAUCUGAUGGUCAUUUUUAACUCCCAUUAUAAUGUUGAUGUCACAAGGAAAUAAUGAUGACGUGAACGAAGCUAGGUCUCAAAGCAGGUGUAUAUACUAUGUUUAAGUGAUAAUCCUUCAUGAUUAAAGGUAAUAAUUGUAGAAUUAAGUUGUCUCAGUAAAACGCAGCUCAUGGUAUCAUCUCCAGAAGUUCAGAAACUGCCUUCUUCAUUGGCCCAGGUGUAUCAUUCCUAUAGUCAUUAGAAUGAUUCACUGAACUACGUGGACAUGGUCAGCAAAAUAGCAGCUAUGCAUAAUUAGUACCUGGGGGGGUUAAAGCGUUAAUUGACAUAGAAAGCUGCUAAUGAUGGAGUCUGAGAUGAGUGAUGAGCUAGUGAUGAAUUCUGCAAUCUUUCCUAUCUUGUGAAAAGACUUCUGUCCAAAAGCAAUGCUGCUGUUUCCGUUGCUGCCCGGUUGUACCUCACUGUGCUCUGAGAGGUCAUCCUGUGCUCUCCCGCACCCGUGCACCACGUGUUGGUGAGCUGAGCUGGGAACUGCUGGGCUCUCCAUUUUGUGCGCUGGUGUUCCGAAUUCAAACAAGGAUAAAGGUCUCAAUGCUCACAGUUAAAUUGAACACCUCCCUGUGCUUCACAAAGACUUUCUCAUGCUCAGAAAGUCGAGUGUAAAUGUGCAGGAGAUGCUACAAUUCCGGCAUGUAGGUAGGGUUUAUCUAAUUUGAUAGGACUGACAGCAUUUUGUUCUGAAAUUCACUGAACCUGUUCUUGAUCAGACCUCAACUGGUUGCUCUGUGGGCAGGAGCAGUUCUGUGCGGAGACAAACUUACAUAAGUCGCUGGGUUUGUGGCAUGAAUGGAUUAGAUGCUGCCAGCUGCUCGGUCUUUCAUAAUGAAGCAAAGUAUGUAAGUUGGCUCUGCUGUGGAAAAAGAUGGGUUAAAGACACCGUCUGCAUCUGAAAACCCAACAGAACGGGGAAGUGCAACUCCUCGCUAGUUGGCUGCUCUUAACCCUAACAGCUCUUUACUGACUACUUGUGCAGCCCAUGCCUCGCAUUGAGAAACCCUGCUGAGAUAGAAGUGCACCGUGGCCGUCAUCGUGGAGAUGGCUGAGCUUGGGACAGCUGCAGCUUGCACAAUGCCCUGCUUGUGGAGCUGCUGUGUGCCUUGCUGGUGGGCCGCUCGCAUCAUCUGUCUCCUGGAGGAAGUUGGCACUUGAGAGGAUUUCAGCUGGGCUUUCCUUCUGUUGUACAGAGGAGGAUGUGGGGAGGGCGGGCACUAAGGAGGAGGUGGGUCCUCUUUUGAGUGCCCACAUAGUACUCAGUUGCUCACGUUCUGGGCAAACUGCCUGGUGUUAGAAAGCUCAGAUUUUAUGGGUGGGCCCGACAGCCCAGUUCUUGUCCAAGGAGUAUAAGGGUGAGUGAAUAACUCCAUUCGGCAAUUGUUUUGCCUUGACAAUUACAAUGGUUACGGCUCUUUACAAGGGUGGAUACUGAUAGGACGAGAGGAAAUGGUUUUAAACUGAUACAGGGGAGGUUUAGGUUAGAUAUUAGGAGCAAGUUUUUCACGCAGUGGUGGUGAUGCAGUGGAACAGGUUGCCCAAGGAGCUUGCGGAUGCCCCAUCCCUGGAGGCAUUCAAGGCCAGGCUGGAUGUGGCUCUGGGCAGCCUGGUCUGCUGGUUGGCUGCCCUGCACAUAGCAGGGGGGUUGAAACUGGAUGAGCGUUGUGGUUCUUUUCAACCCAGGCCAUUCUAUGAUUCCAUUCUAUGGUAUUUGACGUGCUCUGACAGCGCUGGUCAGUGUGUCCGUGGUGUGCUUUGCUUUAUUCAGCGAGUGGUCUGGUGCAUGAACAGAAGUAGGACAUCUUGUUCUCUGAAAUGGUAUUCUGUCUUGAAAUUGCUGCUGUUCUGUUUUGGCAGUAGAGAAUGCUUUCCUUUACCACUCUAGCAUCAAAUCAUAAAUAAUAAAUCAUCUAUGUAGAUAGCCCUUUCCAUACUUCUGGAUGAGCUCUGAGCCCCCUGGGACUUGUAUUUCAGGUAACGUAAGUCCCUUACUCCCAACUCUUCCCUUUUCUCAUGUUUCUGCAGGGAUGGGAGGAGUGGGAAGUCUGGAGGGCUUUGCUUACACUUAUUUUGCCACAGGCUAGCCAGUGCUUUGAGUUACAGUAACCAAGUGGAGCUGGAAGAGUCACCCUAUUGCCCUGCCUCAAUGUUGCCUUUGCUUGAUGCAAUACAGAGCUGGAGGUAAUGGUCUCUAGUUGCACCAAUGGAGGUUCAGGUUGGGUAUUAGAAACAAAAUUUCUUCUUGGUAAGAGUGGUGCUGCAGUGGCACAGCUGCCCAGGGAGGUGGUGGGGUCACCCUCUCUGGAGGCACUCCAGAACCAUAGAGAUGUGGCACUGAGGACGUGGUCAGUGGGCAUGGUGGGCGUGGGUUGACUGUUGGAUUAGGUGGUCUUAUCCAACCUUAGCGGUUGUGUGAUUUAUUUCUUUGAUUCUAUGGUUUAUUUCUUCAUAGUAAGUUUAAACUCUCUCACGUUGAGCAGAGAUUGAAAAUGUUAAACCACAACCUUCCUCCGGUAAGAUUUUAGCAAGUGCUUUUUCACCUGGAAAUCACAACUCUAUGUCAGUUUGAGCUGACUUUGCCUUGUUCCUGCUCAGUACACUACUUUUGGUUUCAGUGGAUGUUUGUGUCCCUAAAACUUGAAGACAGGAAAAGUACUAUUGUGGAGGAUAAUGUGAGGAAAAGCUUAGCAAGCUGAAAAGUAUUUGGUGCCUAUUCCAAAUGAGGGCAUAUUUGAGUAGAGGUUUUUUUAGACGUGCACCUGUGAGCGACGGAGCCAUUGCUGCUGGUAUGAGCAGCCUGACAUCAGAAGCCCAUCCUAGGCUGAAGUAUGCUUAUGGUGUUGGUGCAGUGGGAUUGCAGCAUCUGCCCAUGCCCUCCUCCCUGCACAACAGCUGGGGGAUGCAGCCAGCCCUUCUGUAAGAACACAGUUGCAUGCAGUUCCUUGGCCCAUGCCUGGUGGACAGUGUAUUUAUGUUGUAAUUCUCUGAAAAUGUUGCCUGAUCUUUCUGGGGAAAGAGGAGAUAGGAGUUCAGUGGUGACCUUAAUUCUCCUCUCUGUCCGUAGUUCAAAGGAUUGGAAUAAAACCUGUGGGACAAAGUUCAAGCCAAGCUGUUGUUGACAUUGGCCUGUAUGUUUCUUGGGCAUGGGCUGAGACAUGGCACCGGCACUGAGCUGGGUUUCAUGUUUCUGGUGCCCACUUAGGGAGCCCUGGCUUAGCAGGAUACCACUGCUGCUCUUACCCAUGUGGUCCUGACUGACCCCAGGUCUGGAGAGCUCCCUUAUGGCUCCUGGGGGAAAGCAGGCAUCGUUGUGGGGGCACACAUGGAUGGCGUUACGGGGAGGCUUGGUACAAAGCUUGGGGGAUGUGGGAGGAGAGUGGUGGAAUACUGCUGUAGUCUUGUCUGUUUGUUUGUUUGCUUCUUUCUUUUUCACUGCUAGGAGGAAAGCAGUAAUUAAUACAGCUGGAUGUUAAAUGCAGCACUGUUGGCUCUGACUCCUUCCCAGGGCUCUGUUUCCAAACUUAGCACAGGCAGCAGCAGACGACGGCUUUCAGUUCAGGAUCUCUUUUAGGAGGAAAAGUGUUGGGCAGUCAUCUGUGCUUUUCUGGUCUGUAUAUCUGAGGUACCCAGAUAUCCAGGUAUCCAGGAACUUGAUUUUAAAUAAAGCAGCUUUCAGAAUGUUGUGGGCUGAUUUUUGAAUGAACUUUCUCCACUGCAAAGUAUUAACAUAGCACUGUCAAAGCACUGCCAGUGGACAACGGUAUCAAAAGCAAUUAAAUAUGGGAGAACAGUUUUACCAUAAACUAGUUUGUCCCAAAUAUCUGUUCUUUAUGAUGUCAUUGAAGUACUCCCUCUGAGUAGGAUGGUCAUGAUUCUAAAUUCUAACUUGAGGUCAUACUUUGUUUAUGUUUCUUGCUGAUGGGAGUGUGAAGGAGUACAGAGCGUGUACUCCAAAAGCAGCUAACACACUUGGCAAUCUUUAUAAGGGUAUAUUUAUCCAGUAAGCAACACGUAAUAGGAUCCAGUAGGUUCCCAAAUGUGGAAGAUGUACUGUAAUGGAAAUUGUGUUAAGGCUAUGGUAAAGCUUUGAAAAGUCUUUUCUUUCCAGAGCUUUGAAGUUGCUUCUUACAGUCAAUGUAUGUGACUCGCUUUCAUUUACCAUCUUGUCAAAUCUUUCAAGACUGAUUUGGUUCUAUCUGAGGGCCUUGUUUGCCAUGCAGGGACUGAAAAGGAUUUCUAGUUUUCCUUGCUUCUGGAUGGACAAACCCUCCAAGCAGAACAGCUCGCUGAAUUAUUUCUGUGAGGGUUGGACUCUGCAGCUUUUAGGUUAGUUUUAAACUGGAGGAGGCAUUUAAAUAAUGCUAUUGGAUCUGCAUUAGAACCAAAGCAGUACACACUGAGUAGCUUUUGCACUGUUUCUGAUAAAAGUUCAGGAGACCCAGUUGCUAAAUUUAGGGAUGUAACUCUAAAAUAGGUCACUUGUCAUCUGUAGUUUACGUGUACCACGCUGCUCAUAUCGGCUCAUCUAAAAGUGUUGCUCUGUCUGCUACCAGCUGUAAGGGGAUGACAGCCUGAAGACUUAUUUCAAUACCAGUUGUCUUUUCCUUGCUUUGCAGGAAAAUCUUCACUGACGAUUCAGUUUGUGGAAGGACAGUUUGUUGAUUCCUAUGAUCCAACCAUAGAGAACAGUAAGUACAUAACUGAUAAGCUGCUCAUCUGUAACCAACUGUCUCAGAAAUCAUUGUUCGUGUUAUUUAUGUGGGCACUUACAUAGUAACAUUACAGCUUUUUACUUUAACAGGUAAAUACAUUGGAUGUUGAGUCCCUGUCAAGAUAGAAAUAAAAGGAAGUUAGAAUAAAGUAAUCAGCAGAACGAGGUUUUUGAUUUAUAUCAUUAUAAUUAGCAGUGCUAUCAGCAGAUUUUACUCAGGAUUAUUUUACUGGAUGGAACUGAACCUCAUAUUACUUUUUGAAGGAUCUCUUGCUUUGCUUUAGCAAAUGAAGCUGGUUAAUUUGCCCUUUGACCUAAAUGAUCUGAUAGUCUAUGUAUGAAUGUCCAGACACCAUCAUGAUGUACUGUAUUAUUAGAAUUGUAAACAAGGCUUGUUUUGAGAUGCAUCAAACAAGGUCUCAUACAUUAGAUUUCAUUAUUUAAGUCUUACCAUAGAGUCAUAGAAUAGCUUGGGUUGGAAGGGACCUUAAGGAUCAUCAAGCUCCAGCCCCCCUGGCCGCAUGUAGAGCUGCCAUCUUAACGUCACUUGGGUCAGGCAACUUUCCAUUGUCUGCACUUCACAAAUGCAAAGUAUUUAAAGUAAACUUGUAGAUUUCUGUAGACAUAUGGGGGUGACUUGAGAGACAGAGUCAGAUGCUGUCUCUAAAGUGUGGAGAGCACCCGCAUGUCCUGGUUUAGGAUUUUGGCAUGUUGGCACAAGGCUGACUUGUUUCCCCCUUUACGAACCCUUGUCCACAGAAACAUAUUGGCUGUAAUUGGUGCUCUCCAGCUGUGCAUCUAUCACUGGCAGCAUUUACCUACAUGUACUCAUUUUAAAACACCUCAUACAGAUUUACUUUCUACCUGGAAUUUGGUUAGAUUCUUUAGUUUCCACCAGGCUUCAUGAUGUAUGUGUAGAUGGUUCAUUUGCAGGUGAAUUCUGCAUGUAUUUGGCUCUUGGCACAGCUCACUUAAUAUUAAGUGUGUCGUGGCCAUGAAAACUGUGGGCAGGGGGCAUCCUGAAAAUGUCAUCAUUUUGUGUGACUCUUUUGUACAGAAAACAAGCAGCAUUAUUAUUUUGCUGGAAGCUUUGUGAUCUGUGGCAUGGCUGGAGGAAGUUACUUUCUGAAAGGUAGAGAAUUGAAGGGCCCUUAUUCUAUCAGAAUGUGUUGCUGGGGAGUAGGGGUGAGACCUAGAAGAUAUGCCCUGGGGAUCAAAAUAGCAGGAAGCCUACCCUGGUAUAAAACCAUUCUUCUGAAUGGUCUGUCUUCAUUUCUUUUACGUGCUUUUUAUGAAUGCAGACUCUUGAUGGGUCAAGUCUUUUGACGUCUCCAGCUGUAUGCUUUUGAGCCUGGCCAGACUUGUAAGACACCAUCAACGUAACCAACUUUUAGUGUUUUACUCACUUGUGAUUUUGAAUCUGGUUAAUGAUGCCAAAAGGGGUUCAAGAAUCCGGGCUCCUGCAGGAGGGAUGCUGUUGAAGAACAUUGCGUUUUUGCAGUGGUUUAAAGCAGGCUGUCACACUUUCAUAUAGGGAUUGGGUGUACUCCAGUGUUACAGCACUUGAAAUAAAGUUAAAUAUAGGCUCAACGAUGGCCCAGCCUGUGUCAGCUCUGUUUUACCUCCAGAAAAUUGCAACUGACAAUUAUCAAAGUAUUAUCAGCACUGAUGAAUGGCUGGAAAACUGUAGUACCAAUGGUAACUCAGGCUUUGCAAUUUUUGUCUUCAAAUAACAUAACUUGCAUGAAAAAUUGAGUUUAAAAUUAAAUUGCAUAGGAAGGAAACUAUAGCUAAGCUUUUUCUUAGGAACAAGUGUAAAAUAUAAGCCUUGGACUAAAAGGAUAUGACGAGUAUUCGAGUGGCUUUGUUUUGCAGUGGAAAAAACCUCUACCUUCUUUGGAAGGGGCACAGGGAAAAUGAGCUGCAUCAGGUUUCACUUAAUGUACAGAAAAGUCAGCACUUCUGUGCUGUGUUUUCCUUUGCUUCUAUUACAUUAGAACUAGAAAAGUUAGUUUAUCUAAGCUAAUAAGCACGUUGAAUUCAGUUGCUUCCAGUAAACUUGUGCAUCAGGAAGGGUAACUCGUAGCAUUUUGUGGCAGCACUGGUGGUGAGUUAAUUGCUUAAAGUAGAAUUUCCUCUUCCUAAUGUCCCAACAAGAGUGACGCUGUGAUGGGUGGCUGUUAGUGAGGCAGCAGGGUGGAGAAACCAGUGGGACAAUCACUUGGGAAAUGGUGGCAAGAGAAGCAAAGCCAUUGCAGAGCAGGAGCGCAUAGAAGGAGCCUGCGUGGACACUGAGCUGAAUGGAUGCAGCCUAGCUCAGCCCUUCGUGGAGAAACAGAAGAAUUUGGAACUCUUAAACUGGGAUAAGCCCAAGAAUCUUAAUUUGGAACUCAAGUCAGAAGGAAUAGAAAAUGUGAAUGUGUGCACAGCUCCAGUAUUUUUUGAUACAAUUGUCAUUAACAGGGUAUUAGGAAGGGAAGGGGGCUGAAGGCACGCUAGUGGUUGUGGAGGCAAUACACAUAGGUUCACAUGGUUGGCUAAAAGCAUCCUUAAGGCUCAGCUUCUCCCACGUGCAUGAAGCCAGCUGCCCUGCAGGGGUGACAGCACUUGUGCUUGGGAGCUGCUGCCGAGCAGUGUUCUCCAAGGGUGGGCAUGGGGCUUUAGCUCUGCUGUGUUACACACCUGCUGCAAAAGCUGUCCUGGUGGUUGGACUGAAGAAAAUCAGAAAGGGAUGUGGAAGCUGGUAACUGAUGUGCCCUUACGAGGAGGUUAUAUUUACCAUUCAGUAGCUCUGGGAAAGGUUUUACACUGCUCCCCUAUCUCUGCUCAGUAGCACUGGUGAUCUGAAGGUCUGUCUGUGUGCCUAGUUCUGAUUCCUUACCACAGUGGCUUGUUUUCACAACAGCUGCCAUUUGAGCAGCAUUUGCAAAUCCUCUCAUUCAUGUUUGUGUAACUGAAAUAUGCUGCUUCUUAGGGAGGCAGCAGUCAGCAGCCCAUGGAGUUGCUGUGCGAGUCACGCUGCUUCUUGGCUGUAGCAUCUGCUGGGGCUGCACUGUGCAAUUACAACUGCAUCAGAGUGGGAUUGUGCCGAAGGAGGAGGCUCUUCUGGUGCUGGGAGUCCCUGUUCUGAGCUAGCAGCUCCUUGCCCAGCCUGCUGUGACUGCCCACUGCUUCCCUUCCCUGCUCUGCCUCCCAUUGCUCGGUACCAAUGGUGGUGGUGUUUCUGCUUGGUCUAUUCUGGGCUUCUAGAAGAGCUGCCAUCUGUCCCUGUCCCAUUUUAAAUAUUAACUUCACGAGGCUCUUGAACCUACUUUGAUUGCAGAGUGCUUUGAUUUGGAUGGGAGUUGUCAGGAGACCAGAGGGUGGCUGCUGUGCUCAGGAACCUGUAAUGCACUGUGUCUCCUUCAUGUUUGAAGCACUGAUGCUGCAUACAGCAGCCCUGCAUGUUAACAUCUGUUCAGACGAGAAUCUGUAUCAGCCAAAAAGCUGUUCUGCAUUCUUGCUUCGUAACCCCACAACCUUGUGCAGUGGUGCCAACAGCUCACUGACUGCAUCGUGCAAGCACAGGUGUUAACGCAGCUGCAGUGCUGGGACAGAUGGGGUAUGGUUGGUAGGAGCUCUCUGUGAGGCUUCAGUCAAAUUGCAUGUGUUGCUACUGUAGUGGAAGCUGCGUGGCUGCUCUGUGCUGUGCAUGUAGGCACUUGCCUUGUAGAAUCAUUAAAAUCAUUAAGGUUGGAAAAGACGUACUAAGAUCACCAAGUUCAACUACUGACCCACGCCCACAGCGCCACAUCUCCAUGGUUUUGGAACACCUCCAAGGACGGUGACUCCCCCACCUCCCUGGGCAGCCUGUUCCAAACAGCAAAAUGUGGCUUUGUUCUGUUUUCAGUUGCUCCUUUCUAUGAGCACGCUUUGAGUGACGUAGGCAGGCCGAAUCUGAGUGUGAAGCUAGCCCAGUGACUCGAGAUAAUGUGUUGUGGAGGUGUGACAGCAGCAAGCACUGGUGGCAGGAGGAAAACUGGUGGAGUUCAGCUUCAAGGAGCCAAGAAGUGCAAGAGUCAGCCAGCACAGCUGGGUGGAGGACUGCACAGCUGGAUGGAGAGGAGUCAGCUCUACUGCAGCUUUCAGGAUGGGCAGUCUGAGGCGUGAUCAGCACAGCACUGCAGUGCUGCCCAUUUCCCCAAUAAUCGUGGUGAGGAAAGAGACGACUUCCUCUGACCAUUAGCAGCUGGGGAAACUGCCUUCACCUGCAUACAGCACACACAUUACCGGUAUGUCUCUGCUGCCCCGUGAUCUCAGUCUGUGGGCAACAUGAAGCCCUGAAGCUCGGCUUGCGUGCUCUGGUUGGUAUGCGUGGUGCUCGGCAGCACGUUGUGCUCCACGAGCUCUGACACGGUUUGCUUUUGCAGUUGCAUAAUGCAGACACUGAGAAAGGUUCCUCAGCUUGCAGUGUGUUGGCAUUUCAUAAACCCUGGGAAGAGCAGCAGUUCUCAUCUCGUAGGAACUGAAUGUGCUUCCUGACUAAGGACUGAACAGACUGGUAGCUGCGGCAAACGUGCAAGUACUAUGGGGAGCUUCAGCUAAAUUCUCACUAUUUAGGUUUAGCAUGUUCUUCAGUUAGCCUGUGUGUAUCUUAGCCCCAAAGAGGUUUUUGUAAAUCCAGAUCAUUUACCUCUUGGUAUUUGUAUCCGGGAAAUCGAUCUCGCUAAACUGCUUGGAAACUGGGGAAAAUAACCUGUGUGGAGUUCAAAGUUAGCUUUAAUGUUAAUUGCAUUUGUGUCUCAUGUUAACCACAAAUUACAGAUGCCUGCAAGUCUCUUUGAAAUGAUGUGUAGUAGUAGAGCCUUUUUACUCUUUGUUUCUAAGCAGCAGUAAAGGAAACAACCAAGGCACACUAUAAGAAUCUUCUACAAUUUGAAAUGUUAAAGUCAGUUUGUAAGUUUCAGUCCCUACAGUACUUUGUUAAAAGCACAACAACCUGAUGCAGCCUUCUACUUUAAAGCCUGUAACUAACAUUCUUUUUCUUAACCCUUCAGCUAGCAGUGGCAGAGAUGAGCGACUUCUUACUUUGUUCAUCAUUCUGAAAUGUGCAUCUGCUGUUUUUUAUUCUAGCUUUUACAAAACUGAUCACAGUAAAUGGCCAAGAAUAUCACCUUCAGCUGGUUGACACUGCUGGCCAGGUAAGUGCCUUUCUCCCUUUGCAUCUUUGGAGUUAAUGCAACAGGUAUUGGUGCUUGGGAAGAGCUACCCUGGUUGUGUCCAUGUGUUCAAAGCUGAAGCUCAACUUAAAUGAUUCCACUUUAUUUUGUUCUCUGAAAGUAAUGCUUGUAUAGUGUUUAUGCACUUUUUCUAUUGAAAUUGAAACAGUAGCUAGUGCUUAAAGUACAUAUGCCUAAAAAAGCCAAGAAAGAGCUGCCUGAACUCCAGUGUACCAAAGCUCUUAAGUAAUCCGCUUGAUACUUAUGGUCCGGUAGUCUUCUUUAAUUGGAAAAUGCCAAUUCAGUAAACCACACAGAAGUUUUUCUUGACUUUCUUCAGUCUGUGUGCUCCAGCACCUUGGUUUGUAUCCAUUAAAUAGUCAGAAUAGAAAGCAACAUGCAUAGGUAGCGCUCAUGAGGCUGCAAAGAAACUCCUGCAGUUUGUUUAUGUAACUAAGUAAGUGAAGGUUCAUGCAUGCAUACUUCUGAGCUUGGUGUAAUGAGGGGGAAUGCAGAAGGAGAUGGUAAACAAAUGUCUGUGGCGUGGUCAGUAGCGUCAUGAAAUAGAGGUGCUAAUUACACAGGGAUGCUUGGCAAAGCCUGGAGGUGAGUGUGUGCUCUGUGCUUUGAAGGGCUGUGCUUAAAAAAGGGACUGCUAAAUCCCUUACCAUCUUCCUGUUUGCAUGCUCUUACUUUCUGUGAGUUCUGGUAUUGUGCCUUUGGGUUUUCCCAAACUGUUAGCAUUAAGCAGCCAGUAAAGUACACGGGCAGUGCUUUAGACAUGAAAGCUGCAGGACAUUUGCUCAUAGCUGGGAGAGUAUUCAGGGCUGUGACCUUCUAGGACUAUUUGAUCACCUUCAAAGAGAGCUACAUGAUGUAAGAAUAACUGUGUGCUGUAAUUAUAUGCUGUCAGCUUGUGGUGGUAAUCAGCAGCACUAGAUCUACAGGUAAUCAGUCGGAGGGUUUAGUAACAGCAUUGACCACACAUACUGGGGUCAUAAACACGUUGUUUGGGAAAUUUAAACUAAAUAGAAUUGCACAGCUAGUAUUUUUCCCAGUCUGUGGUUAUUUCCAGCCUCGAUUCUUCCUGUGAAUGAGUUGAACUUUGAGUUGUGGCUCACAGGGCUAGAGGGAGAGAUAAUGCUGGGUUAUGGAAGGUGUGGUUUGAACAAAUUUCUCACAGUUCAGUCUUGCUUAAUGAUCCAUAGAGCAUCCUUACGUAUGCAGUAUAGCAAAGAUUAUAUUGCAGAUUUAUGUCAUAUACUUGAAAACUUGGCUAUAGCUUGAAAAGUUACAGCUCUGCUCGUUUUGUCACUUGGCAAAGUUCUUAAUUUGAUCCCCAACUUCCAGGAAGAGUUGUGGUCUUUUAUUUUUUUCCUUUCCUGACAAGCUAAAGAAAUAGUUUUCUUGGUACCUAUUUUCUGUCUCGUGCCUCUUUACCUCUCACAGUUACGUGUUCAGGUUUACAUAGCUGUGUUGAGCAGGAGGCUCACUAUGGGACCUCAGAACAGGAUGUAGCAACAAAUCUUUUCUGAACCUGAAUUCGAACUGUGGCAAUCCUGAGUAAUUGCAGAUAAAGGCAAAGAACUGUGGGGCUGCACUUUCACCUGUUUUACUUGCAGGCCAGCUCACAUCUCUCUGUGUUGACACUGGGAUUACACAGCCCGCGGAGAGGGCAGCGUGGCAUUUAAGCGGAGGUGGGGGAGGGCUGCCCUCAGUGUGUAGCAUUAAAGGCAAAUAAGGGCAUCAUGUGCAAGUGUUGUUCCUUCAAACUUUUUUGGCAGAAUCUGGGAAGUUGAUUUAUAAAAGGUUGUGGGGUUUUUUUUGGCAUUUGCCUAUUAAGGAAGUUUGCUUUCUGUUAGCUGUCUCGAUUUAAGCUGCAUGAUUGCACCGCUCCAUCUGUUCAGUCAUGACAAUAUACAGGGAGGUUAUGUAUCUUCAGCUAAAAUUAACAUCCUAAGAAACACAAGCUUAAAAAAUGGAGAGCUCGUACAGUAAGAUGUAUGGCUCUUGUCAAAAUGCAAAUGUUACCUGGGAACUUCUAUUAGAAUGCUUCUAUUUUAGUGUUUAACGUGAAAUUCUUCGUCUUAGUGUUGUGUUGUCUGCAUUCUGUCAAUCUGCCUCAGUUACUGAGUUGUUCAUUUGCAUUUUUACAGGUGUUGUAAACGUAGAGAUUUAUUGUCUAGGUUUGGUUUCUUAUGUUGGUUGGUGCUGAUGGUGGUAUUGCUUUGGUUUUUUAUUUUUUAUUGAAGAAUUGCCAUAUAAUGGCAACUUCUAGUUGCUGUGAAGCAACCAAUGGCUACAGUUCUUAGAUCUGUGAUGAGCAUUAGUUAGUUCGGUAUGCCACAGCUGCCUAACAGGCCCCAUAGGUAAGUUAGCUGUGGUCAGUGCCCCUUGAAGUGUGGAACUGCUAGAUCCUGUCUGCAGCUGCUGAAAUUUGGGAUUUGAUGGGAACGUAUCACUAGCAAGGUAAGAGGCAUAACUGCUAAUUAGUGGUAGGAGACAGAGUGGAUGUUUUGUACUAGGGUAAACUGAUAACUGAGCAGUGUAAGAGGAUCGGGGAUAGCUUUAGCUGAUCCGUAGUCUUAGAGGGAAUAAAGUAAAAAAGCUGUAGAUUAAAUUGUAGAGUAUGCAGACUAACAGGCUAACUAAGCUGGUGCCCCAAGCUCGCUUUGCUUUCUCUUAGUUGGGUAAAGAUUCCACACCUGGCAUUAUGAUGAAGAAACCUAAUUCUCAGAAUUACACAAAAAUGUUCUACAAAUGUGACUAUUGGCUGUGAAUGAUCUGCUAGCAUCAAGCUCUCAGCGUUGGCAAUAAGUAAUUGAAUUGCAAUAUUCCUUCUACAGGAUGAAUACUCCAUAUUUCCUCAGACAUACUCCAUAGACAUCAAUGGCUACAUUCUUGUUUAUUCAGUCACGUCAAUAAAAAGGUAACAAAGUCUGCUGUGUUCUCCUGCUUCACAUGUUAGCCACAUGCAUAUCAGCUCAGCUCCUGCCUCUGCUUUAUUUUUCUUUACGUAUGUGUAAUUCCUUCAGUCCCUUUGCCUUAGAAAUGUAACUGAAAUACAAAAGAAUGGCUUUUCAGAAUUUUCCCCUCAGAUCCAAAUGUCACAGGCACUUUGCAGACCAAAGCAGGAGGUACUGUGUGAGAAAUGGGGCAGUGCUGAGCUCCAGUGAUUGAGUGUAAGUGAAAGCACAUAGACUGGUCCCAGGAACAAACAGGCUUUGUGCUGUAGCGUAAGAGGUGACGAUGGAGUUCAGCAUGAACCACAAGAGCACUGCACGUUUAUGUGGACAACCAAGCUAGGUGUUCAUCUGUCCCUCAGCCUAGCAGCUUCUUGCAGUACUGAGAUUCCUUUGGCUUCCCAUCCUGACUCGUUCUGGUUAACCAUCAAAAACUUUGACAUAAGCAACAAUAUGAGACUCCUGGCCUGUAGGCUCACGCUUGCUAUGCUGCAGCAGAUCUCUUCUUUGAGGUUUCCCAGAGUUUCUGUCUUGUCCUCACUGCUAACUGUAGUCAAUCCUCACUUGAGGACAGGCUCUGUCAUAGCUGGAGAAGCACUUGGAAGUGUCUUAACCUUCUUUAAGGUAUUGUCAUCUUCUGUUAUUUUAUCCUUUCCCUUUGGUCUACUUGAUGUAAGUAUAGGUCAACCUUGAAUCACUCUUAGUUUCCUAAUACUGUACAGCAUCUUCGGCCAAAAUAAUCCUCAGUUUUAUAUUUCCAUUUGUUGAAAGUGAUGUUAAGACCUGAAGCCUUUCACUUCAGAUAGAAGAAAAGCACUGCUUCCCUUGUACUUGUAAGCUGAUCAGCUUUUGAUGAGCACUGAAGCAUUCCAUGUCUUCUCCUCUAAAACAGGAUGAAGUCGUCUUGAGUGUCCUUUAGUAAGAUCUUCAUAAACUGCAGGUGAAACAGCUCUCUUGUUGGUUCUUCUGUGCUUCUCAGAAAAUGGAUGUGGUCUGGUCAUCAACUUCAGCUGCUUUUAAGUUCUUUAAUGUUGAGCACAUUUUCAGUUCUUCAUUCUUGGAGUUCUCCAUUCUUGAUUUUCAUCUGUAGUUUCGAAGUAGUGAACAGAAAGCACGUGUGUUUGGGGGAAAUGCAGCAGGUGUGAGGCUUUCCUGUGUAUCUUAAGAAACUACCUUUUUUUCCUUCUUUUUUUUCUCACUCCCUUAAUCAGAGAUCUGUUGUUGGUGCUGAGUGACCUGUAUAAAGUUGGAGUAGUAUUCCCAGUCCUAAGAAGAAAUCCACAUUGUUCAGUAUUUGAUUCUUGAUCAACUCAAUCCCAAUUCUUGCUUUUUUUCUUGGAAAUUUCAAAGUAUUGAUGAUCCUUUCUUGUUCAAUUUCUUAUUUAAGUUCAGUAUCAAGAUGGUGUUUAGGCAACAGAAAAGAUCUUCCACUGUACUCUGGUAGCUUAGAUGUCUCUCCCAGGCAAUCAGAUUAGUCACUGUCUGUCUCAGUUUCUGUCAAAGUGUGUGUAUUGAUGGGAGUAUUGAUGCAGCUGAGUGGGAGCUUUGACAUCAAACUAAAUAGAAAUGUCCUCUUGAAAUUAUUUUCUUCCCUGCUGAUCUCCACUGGGAAGUUUAUAAUGGGGCUCGAGUGAAAGCUGAUGCCCUGCAUUUGUUAUAUUCCCAGACUCUCAGCUGCAAGGUUACUGGAAGGCUUUUGCUCUAGUUCAGCUUAAUUAAAUUCCAAAUUUGUCUCGUGCUGUGUUCUGUGAUCCUCUAUAUCACAGCUAGUGAUCCUUCAGGUUGUAUUUCACUCUGUUUUCCUGUAACCCUGUUUGCUUAACAGAACUGGAAAGGACCUCUUAUGGUCUGCAGACCUAUCGCUGUUUCACAACUUGGUGUGGUGUUGGUUUUUCUGGGGGGUGGAGGGGGGCUUGUUGAUAAGGGUUUUAAUUUGUGCCUUUGCUCCUUGUAGCCAUGUGUUUGAGAAUGCUUUCCAAAUUAAUUAAAUUGAUCCGGUCAGUCGAGGUUCAUUCUGGGUAGUUCUUACCAACUUGUUUCUGUGCCAGAAUCAUGUUGGAAUUUAAAUAGCACUUCCCUUUCGGUUUUCACCUUGAUCUAUUAAUAAAGAUCAGCUGUUAAUCCUUGGUCUAUUUUGCUAAAAAUUGAGCUCUAGAUGAGCAGAAACUGAGAACUGAGCAGCACAAGGUGGAACCACAGGUGAGGGCAUGCACUGAGCUGUGCAGUGGCACAGUGUUUUUCUGGCUACACUGGCAGCAGCUUACCUACCUAGUAGUAGAAAGUGAUUACAUUGGUGACUCGGCCAUCCUGUGGCUAGUAUGCUACAUCUCUCCUCUUGCUUCAGGCUGAGAAACAGUUCUGUGGUCUGUAUCAGAAUUAUUUUGAAUGAUUUCUCCUUCAGUUUUCAGGGUCAUCUGAUUCUCUCUGUCACAGCUGAACACCGUUUAACUCUUACUUCUGAGAUACCCUGCUGAAAGUCCAAGACCAGUUCUCAAGCCCAAAAUUUUGCUUAUACCUUUUCAGCAUAAGCUCUUCAUAAUCCUUAAUUCCUUCCAUUGAUUCCACGUUUAUGUAGUCUGUAGUAUAGUGUUUGAGUCAGUAACAGCAAGGUGUGCUGGACUGAGUUACUUCUUUUUGUACACAAUUCAUUUCUGAACAGGAUAUCUCCUAGCUCACCAUGGAAGUGUUGAGUUCUGCUCAGUCUGUAAAACUGUUGCUGAAGUAAUGCAAACAGACCUGCUUGACACACAAUCCUGAACUGAGGUAGCGUUUACUGUUCAGAACUGAGAAGCUUUAAGGAGUCCCAACAGCCUGAGUAGUGCUUCUGGGCACCGGUUCUUUGAGAAUCCAGAGCUUGGAUGUACACUGGAGUGCUGCCCUAUUUGUAAGAGCUUCAAUUCUAAUUUAAGCACAGUGCAAAAUGAAGAUGCUGCCCCUUUCUUCUUGUGUAGCUGCGUGUCAGGUGUGUGAACCAAGCCUGCACCUUUCUUAAAGCUCAGGUGUGCACUUCAUGCACCAGCAUCUUUUUUCCACAGUGUAAUCAGAAGAGCACAACAUCUGCUCUUUCACUCUGUUGAUAGCCUGUUCUCAAGUGUUAAAUGUCAGACAUGGGACUUCGGGCCUCACAGUGUUGUGCAGUGCUGUUUCUUAUCUCCAGUCAUGCAAACAUCAUGUGGGCAGCAGGUGAGCUGUUAGGUGCCUCAACAACCACUGCUUUGCUGUUGUCUUGCCCAUCAGGUUCCUCACUAUCCAUAAGAUAUUGGAAUUCAGCCUUCUCUUGGUUUUCACAGAAUGCCAAAACAACAUUCAAAGACUUCUAUGAGAGUUAAGGUUUAUUUAAAGUUAUGUAUUCUUCUCGGUGGGUUGUGCUGAACUGAAUGCUGUUCCUUUGAAACUCUGCUUUAGUUUGACAUGCUCAUCCAGGCGUGUCGGACUGUAGUAGCCGAAUUUCUUACUGUGAAUGCAGACCAGAUUGGAGGGGGCAUGGGGGCUUUUAGCACUGUGUGUUAGAUGCACCUGUCCUGGGUAACGUUUAUUUCUGCAAGUAUCAGAACUGGGUGGGCUGUAACGAUGUGCAAAGUACAGUUUGCUGCUGCCUCUGGGACCAUUUUGUCUGUUGUACACAAACCAGUAACACUUCAGCAUCUUUGUAGUUCUGCCACUGUACGUAAUUUUUAACACAGCAAUCUACAUAUGCAUUUAAUUGCUUGCGUAUUGAUUGGGUAUUAAGGAUAAGCAUUGGAGUGCACGUGUGACUUCAUCCCUUUAUUUUGCAGUUUUGAAGUGAUAAAAGUUAUCCAUGGCAAGUUAUUGGAUAUGGUGGGAAAAGUCCAGUAAGUAGUGACACUUUCAUCUCAUUUCACUGCAGGCAUGUUGCUAGUACUUCGUUCAGUAUACUAUAACUAUUCUGAAGUUCUGAACUUUCUUUCACAGAAUACCCAUUAUGCUGGUUGGAAAUAAAAAAGACCUGCAUAUGGAACGGUAUGUGAACUCCACUAUGUGGGAAAUGCAAGGCAGCAGCCGGCAUUCCUGUGGCUGCCAUGGCCGGUUUUGUUCUUGGCUUUCCAUGACUAAAAUCCAAAUGUAGGUUACAACAAAGGUACCAGCAAGGGAUUGGGUCCAGAAUGUGUGCUAGCAGCUUCUGUUGUAAUGUUGAUUCUUGCUAAAAAGCUUCCAAAAAGAAAAAGAGAAGUAGAAUAUUUGUUUGAAGACAAGUAAGGAAGUGUCUUUUUUACCACUCUGAGACAGGAGAUGAUGCUGCAGCGUAGGGAAACAAGUCAGUGUUUGGGACAAUUGCUCCCUUCUGGGUCACAUAGGAGUUCUACGUGGCCCAGCAGUGAAUUUGACAGCAGCAUAUAGCAAUUGUUUGGGACAAGGCCUUUCAAAAUGUUAUAUAUGCCUUAAGUGCUUCAGAACUGUGGGGACAUUCCUGAAGCUUCAGUCCUUCUGUGAGUUACAAAGAAACAUGCUUUCCACUCUUUUGCAGGGUGAUCAGCUAUGAAGAAGGGAAAGCUUUAGCAGAAUCCUGGAAUGCAGCUUUCUUGGAAUCUUCUGCUAAAGAAAAUCAGGUAACAAAUUUAAGAUUCACUUAUUUGAAUAGCAGUGUUAUGGAAUGUCUCAUAGUUUCACUUGAUAAAGGAAGCUAAAUAUCUGCACGUCCUGUACAGAUAGAUUGUGUAGAUGGUUGGAAAUAAAAUGGGUGUCUGCGUUCAGAUAUACAUAUAUAUAUGCUUGUUGAUGCAACUGUAAGUUAAAGGGUGAAAUGGAGAACUGAAAGUUAAGCUUUGCUGAACAAAACAUAACGGUGGCAAACUCAAACUUGCAGCCCUGCUGUGUGUGGGACAGGGUCUGUGAUCUGCUGUGGUGGCCUUGAAUAGGGAGCUCCUUGUUGCUUCAGGGGGGUGAGUUGGUGUAAGGGAAUGAACAUCAUGGUUUAAGGUGCUGGAUAGGACUUGGUCUGUCUAGUGGGGGGAAUAGUAGUUCUGUGGGCACAGAGUGAAUGAGAAGAAUGUUAGAGGCAGGCAGACACCGUUGUGUUACAGUCGUAGUGAAGUUGCUGUAAAUUCCUUCAGAACACCUUCUGAAUAUAUUCUGGAGUUUGAAUUUGUUCCUGUGGCUUAUCAUAACACUUUGUCACUGCCCUACACUUGAGUGCUUAAGCUACAAGAGCCUACAGAUUUGAGCUUGAAGUUAGUAAAAUUAACUAUAGGUGGAGGGUGCCAGCCUUUCCAACUUAUUUUGUGUUGCUGUUUUUUCUGUUGGUGUUGCCAAUGUCAGUACUGUUGCUUCUUGCAAACGUGAAUAUAUGGUGGGGUCACAGGGGCACUGUCAGGCUGUGUUUAGAGGAAUUGGUCCUUCUGCACAAGUGCACACUGUCUCAUAUUUAACCUAAUACAAUCACAUCCUUCGAUGUUCUCAGCAGCAGAAUCAGAAGGGCAGCCCCAUAGCUGGGGCAGCACCUGCAUGAGCAGCCUUUCUGUCCCCUGCUUUCAGCUGCAAAACAAACAGCUGCUGGCUGAUAACUUGUGGCUCUACUGGAAGCAGACACUUGUGUAAAGUUGGAUUUUCCCUGGCAGGAAAUUUGCAGGUUUUUUUUCUCCACGUAUGGAAUACUUGGAAUUAGUUUCUAAGUACUUCUAUUUCUGGCUAAGAGUUGCACUAACCAUGUCAGAAUUGGCUGUGCUGAAAGCAUGCAGUUCCUUAAUAUCUUCUCUACUUCUGGAGAGCCUCAGAUACAUACCUUUAGAAACUCAAUUGCCAGCCUAGGGAAUAAACCAGUUAAAAGAAUGAGAUCAUUUAUGUAUUUUCAAACAACUCAGUACUUCUGGAAUAGGCAGAGCUAUUGUUUGUUCUUUUUUUGGACGUAGUUCACAAUGUGUAACAGUGUAGUAAUUCAUAUCUUACAGAGUAUCUUACUAAUAACUCUUUUGAAGUUCGUAUUGUGUAUUGUCUUGGAUCAAAAAAAAAGAAAAAGAAAAAACUGUGUAUAUUUAUGCAAAGAAACUACGAGCUUUAUAUGAUGUUUGACAUGCCUUGCAUAUUAAAUUGCUGUGCUAACAAAGUCCCAUUGACUGCCUGUAUUUGUGCCUGUCCCUUGGUCUCAGAGUAUCUGCAUUAAGUUAGCUAUUAGCUGAAAUUCAUAUGGGGAAGCGGUGCUGGCAUGGAACUCCUUGCUGUGGAAAUUACAGUGCAGCAGUAAGGUCAUGCCUUGUGUGUAAUACACCUGGAAACUGGCUGACCUGAGAUGUUCAGGAGGUGAUGCGUUGCUUUGCAGGCCCACAACACAUGACUGUCUUUUAGGCAUCUGAUGGGCUCCCUCUGGAUGCUUGGUGCAUAUGCAAGAAAGCAUAAUGGAGCCUGGAGUGAGGCAGCUCUCCUUCUGUUGCUGCAGACAGUUGCUGAGGAAUGGUUGUUGCUGAAGGAGGUGGAUGGUUGAGCUUGGAAAGCAAAGUAUAAGGCCUGGAGCUGUGAGGUUCUAGGGGAAAAAGAAGUCUUGUUUCUGAAAUCUAUACAUUUUUGGUGGAUGUGGAGCAGGAGAAUGGCAGUCUCUGAUGUGCUGGUCUGAAAUUGGUUUGGUACAUGGGACAGCCUACGGAGAGACUGUAGGCUGAUUCCAGUUUGACCUACAUGGUCUGUCCUUUAUAGCAGCUCUUAGCAAGAAACUCUGAAAGGAGAGGAGGCAUUCCCUGUUACAAGUUCUAGCAGAGGCUUCUCUCUCUCUAUGAAAGGAGGUGGGAAAGCAUUGACUCAUCUCCCUUCCUGCUUUGCCCAAAAAAACCCAAAAACUAUUUGGAGCAUCUGUGGGAGUCCUAGGAACAAAUCCCUGCUGCAGCAGGCAACUGAAGUGGUUGCGCAGAUGAACUUAAUCCUACCAGGCCUGUUCUGCUGGGAGUUGUCAGAAGAUACCACACUGAUGAAACGGCAUGGCAUAGUCUCUCCCACUUCCCAUCUAUUCAGAGAUCUGAGCUGACAGGAGGGUAAGUGGUAGGGGAUGGCAAGAGUUGCUCAGGUCUGAUCUGCUUAGGCUCUGUCCCCUCCUUUAGACUCUGGUGGCCUGCUAAGGCUUUGGAGCUUGUGUAUCGUGUUGGGCACCUGGGGAGAUCACUACGUUUUGAGAGGGCGAUUCUGGGGCUGGAUGCCCAGGAAAAGAUGACUGUUAAACUAAGUCUUGGUUGGAGAUCAUCCACCAGAUUGGGUGAAUGCUUCCUACAGGAAGAAUUUGGGGUAUUUGGGGUCUUUCUUUGGUUCAUUCUAAAAGUCAGCUUCAAGCUGGAAGCAUUCAAGGGCAUCAUGCAUCUUGUAAGCAAAAUAUGAGACACGUAAAAUCACAUCUUGUUGAGCUACGACCUGAAGCUGAGUUCAGGUAUUAAAUCCCUUCUCUGGGCCCUAGAUGUACUUGUUGUGUUUUUUCAAGCUGCUUAAUUAUUUCUGGCUGUGUUGAAGUGCAGUGUAUCUACUGGACUAACUUCAGGAGCUUCAUUCAGGCUUUUCCUGGGGAGUUCAUUACUUCGUUCCCCCUAAGCCAUAGUACAGUGCUUUGUCUUUAAUCCCAGCACAGUAAAUUGCUAAUGGUGCGAAAUACAACCAGAACCCAGAUUGGUCCCUAAGCCUGCUUGAAGCCAAAAGCCAGAGAGUAAUGAGCAUUCGUGUGUCCAUCCACUUACACAGAAUUCAUUAGAAGGGCUUAUUUUAGAAGGGGGAAGGAAGUAGUUAGAAAAAAAAAACAAAAACAAAUCCACUUCUCACCAAAACACCUCUCUUAAAAAUGAGUUCUGAGAUGUUGUUGCUUUUUCAAGAGUAGUUUGAUAUCCAAGGCUGGAAGGUGCAGUGUGUGAGGAUGCUCAGAGGGGCUUGGGAUCUUGCUUCUCCCCCCAACCCCCCCCCCUUAGGGGUUUGGGAGUGCUUCCAUGGGAGAGCAUUUGGUGGGAGGGGAAAUGGCCUUCCUUACCUGACCAUUGUUCAGAGUUCCUUUGCCCAGUUCUGUGCCAAGAACAACCAGUAGCGCGAGAAUUUCCUCUCCAAAAUCACCCAGCAGUUGUUUGGAAAACAGCACAGCAGCACUGAGCUGACAGCAGCAGCUGUGGGCUGGGUUCAGGGGCUUCACACCUUCCCAUUUGUGCACCUCCUGGGCUCUGUUUGGCACCCACGGGUGUGUGUGCAGGAGCACUGAGCCUCCUGGCGCCUCACGCACAGCAGCACCCAUUGCCCUGCCUGGCAUCUCUUUCACUUCCUCAAGGGAAGGAGGUAGAAGAGAGGCAGAUGGCUUUCUGUAGGCUAGAUGUGACCCACAUCCUGUAACUGCACCAUAUGCAGACAGAUGCAUGGAAAGUCUGGCUGCGUUCUUUAUUUCUUGUUGCAAAACAGUUUCCUGCGUUGCUUAAAAGCUCAUUCUAAAAUCCUUGAGCAUAUUUGGGCUGAAUUACAAGUUCCUACGGGUUAACUGCAGGGCACUGAUUAAAGCUUCUCAGUGAAUAUAUGUUCUCUGCGAAAUGAAUUAGCGGCCCUGUGAACUCCUACAUCUCAGCGUUCCCAGCAGCGUGGCUUUGACAGAGAAUAUAUAGCUGCUUGCUUGUCGGAAUAAAGCGUGGGCUUUUGUAGUAGGUGCUUUCAAGCAGGAAUAUGAAGAAUCGGUGCGUUAAAAUGUCAGCUGUAAGCAAUGAAAUAUCAGUACGGUGUAUUUGUAAAGCAGGAUAUCACCUACUUUUGACCAAGGGAAAUUCUUCAUUAGUAGAACCAGUUUGACAGCAGCUGCAGUACUGCCCGUGCUCUUCCUUCAGUCUCGUUUGCCCAGGGGAUGCACUGUGUUAUACAGGGCUGGUGAGCCACGGCGGUCAGAUCCUGCUUGGAUUGUGGAGGGCCGUUGUCAGCUGGUGACUCCCAGCCCAGCAGCAUCUGCUGCCAUCCCUUUGGAGGGGAUGCAUUUUGUGUUGGUGUAGUGGGUGAAAGUGCAGAGGAGCGCUGCUUUCAGGCUGCUGCUCACCGUGUGCUCUCUCUUUGCAGACCGCCGUUGAUGUUUUUAAGAGGAUAAUUUUGGAGGCAGAAAAAAUCGAUGGGGCAGCUUCACAAGGGAAGUCUUCAUGCUCAGUAAUGUAAUUCCACUGCAAAGGCUGAAAACAAUGGGAAUACAUUCUACCUGAAGAAGCAAAACUGCCCUUUAUCUUCAAGGAUAAACUAUGCUUCUUUUUUUUUUUUUUUAAUUUUUUAAUUUUGUGGGUUUUUUUUUUUCUUCUGUUAACCUGAGAGAUACACAGUUGGUUUGGAGCCUUUCCCUUCAGAUUAUGUUAAACUCUGACUCCUGUGCAAAUGGCUUCACUUCCAUUUUCAAAUUUUAAGCAAUCAUAUUUUCAAUUUAUAUAUUGUAUUUCUUAAUAUUAUGACCAAGAAUUUUACUGGCAUUAAUUUUUCAGUGUAGUUUGUUGGUUAGAAUAAUCAUCAAAAUGAUGCAUAUUGUUACACUACUAUUAACUAGGCUUGGAUAUCAGUGUUUCUUUGUGUUAAAUGUAUACUUGUAAAUAAAAUAGCUGCAAACCUUCACGUUCUCCUUAUAACUUUUUGGUGGUUGCCCCAUGCCAGCUUCUGUGUGAGAUGUUCACCUGUUGGCCUUAAGAGGAGCGCGCAAUGGCUUAGGAGGAAAUCCCAUCCACUUGUACUGCUGCAACUCCGAGGUGCCAGGAUAGCUCAGCUGGAUUUUGUGCUGGUUGUAGAAAGGAGAAGCAACGAACACCUUUGUAAAGGUGCCAGGGGAAGGUUUGGAGGGAGGAGCUGGGUUUGGUCAAACAGCACUGCUUGUUCCUUUGUGUGACCGUGAGAGCUGCAGGCUGAAGGGCACACAUCUGUUCCAAGGAGCGGGCUGGCAUGCAGCUGGGCACUCUCAGGUUGGAAUGGAUUUAGCCAAGUUAAACUUGCUAAGAAAACAAAACUGUUGAUUAAAAUAAAUUGCACGUCGAAC